GACGAACGCUGGCGGCGUGCUUAACACAUGCAAGUCGAACGAUGAAACCUAGCUUGCUAGGUCGAUUAGUGGCGAACGGGUGAGUAACACGUGACUAACCUGCCCCUUUCUCUGGGAUAACGCUCCGAAAGGAGUGCUAAUACCGGAUACUCACACCGAGGCACAUGCCUUGGUGUGGAAAGUUUUUCGGAAAGGGAUGGAGUCGCGGCCUAUCAGCUUGUUGGUGAGGUAACGGCUCACCAAGGCGACGACGGGUAGCCGGCCUGAGAGGGCGACCGGCCACACUGGGACUGAGACAUGGCCCAGACUCCUACGGGAGGCAGCAGUGGGGAAUAUUGCACAAUGGGCGCAAGCCUGAUGCAGCGACGCCGCGUGAGGGAUGAAGGUCUUCGGAUUGUAAACCUCUUUCAGUAGGGAUGAGGCGAAAGUGACGGUACCUAAAGAAGAAGCACCGGCUAACUACGUGCCAGCAGCCGCCGCCG
rnacentral:rRNA from 1 species